UAUUGAAGGAGACUGCAGCUGGAUGCUUUGUUCAGGAUCGAUCCUGUGGCGAAAGGCAUUCAGCGUCUCGCAGAUCAAGGCAGACAGAAAGGGGGAAAACAUUUAGUCAAUACCUUAAUAAUUGAGCUAGAGAAUGACAAGAUGGACAAGAUGCAGCUCUAUUCUGUAGGAAAAACACUUUGAGAAACAACCAGGUCGGGAAAUUCAGCGGCUACCCUGGAGAACCUGCCUUCGGCAUGCAUCAGAAGUUGUUUUGUUAAUCGAAACAAAGGGCGGAUUGAGUGAUCCAAUGCACGGAGUGGCUCACUGUUUCCUCUCAUUACAAGACGGCCUUACCAGCAAGGAGGAAUAUGCAGGAAUACAUUAAAAGGUAAUGAGGAAGCUGUCAGGAGAGGGGCGUUCGGGGCAGUGCUCGGCGUUGGAGAGCCUUCAGAGCAUUACGUGAUGGACUUGUCAUCUUGGGACGAGAAGCAAAACGAGGUGGAGUUCAACGGCGUUACUAAUAGCAGCUGCUGCCAGGUCUUCGUCCGUGCUGGUAAUGUAGCUGCAGAAGCAUCUCAUCUUGUAUGUGUUGUAUUUUAAAUGCUAAAUUAAAUAUUUUGGUUCUCAAAAUAUGAAUUCUGUCAUUUCUCAAGCAUGAAUGCUGAAAAAAUAAGGACCGAAGGGUGAACCAUCAUUCGCAAUCAUGUUUUGGAAUAUUCACAUCAAGGCAACGUGGAAUCGCAUAAUGGAAUGUCAUGGUAACAACACCUGGCAGCAGCUUGUCCUCAUGCCCCUCCCCCCAAACCGAAAGUGCUGGAACAUUAUUUCUGUGAGACAGAAAGCCCUAUGAACAAAUAAUGGGUGAGCGCCAGUUUAAAUAAAGUAUGGUUUAUGA